CUAACACAUGCAAGUCGAGCGGUAACACAGAGAGCUUGCUCUCGGGUGACGAGCGGCGGAGGGAGAGUAAUGUCUGGGAAACUGCCUGAUGGAGGGGGAUAACUACUGGAAACGGUAGCUAAUACCGCAUAACGUCGCAAGACCAAAGUGGGGGACCUUCGGGCCUCAUGCCAUCAGAUGUGCCCAGAUGGGAUUAGCUAGUAGGUGGGGUAAUGGCUCACCUAGGCGACGAUCCCUAGCUGGUCUGAGAGGAUGACCAGCCACACUGGAACUGAGACACGGUCCAGACUCCUACGGGAGGCAGCAGUGGGGAAUAUUGCACAAUGGGCGCAAGCCUGAUGCAGCCAUGCCGCGUGUAUGAAGAAGGCCUUCGGGUUGUAAAGUACUUUCAGCGAGGAGGAAGGCGUUAAGGUUAAUAACCUUGGUGAUUGACGUUACUCGCAGAAGAAGCACCGGCUAACUCCGUGCCAGCAGCCGCGGUAAUACGGAGGGUGCAAGCGUUAAUCGGAAUUACUGGGCGUAAAGCGCACGCAGGCGGUCUGUCAAGUCGGAUGUGAAAUCCCCGGGCUCAACCUGGGAACUGCAUUCGAAACUGGCAGGCUAGAGUCUUGUAGAGGGGGGUAGAAUUCCAGGUGUAGCGGUGAAAUGCGUAGAGAUCUGGAGGAAUACCGGUGGCGAAGGCGGCCCCCUGGACAAAGACUGACGCUCAGGUGCGAAAGCGUGGGGGAGCAAACAGGAUUAGAUACCCUGGUAGUCCACGCCGUAAACGAUGUCGACUUGGAGGU
rnacentral:rRNA from 1 species